UAAUACCGCAUACGAUCUAUGGAUGAAAGCGGGGGAUCGCAAGACCUCGCGCGAUUGGAGCGGCCGAUAUCAGAUUAGGUAGUUGGUGAGGUAAAGGCUCACCAAGCCGACGAUCUGUAGCUGGUCUGAGAGGACGGACCAGCCACACUGGGACUGAGACACGGCCCAGACUCCUACGGGAGGCAGCAGUGGGAAUUUUGGACAAUGGGCGCAAGCCUGAUCCAGCAAUGCCGCGUGCAGGAUGAAGGCCUUCGGGUUGUAAACUGCUUUUGUACGGAACGAAACGGUGAGCUCUAAUACAGUUUGCUAAUGACGGUACCGUAAGAAUAAGCACCGGCUAACUACGUG
rnacentral:rRNA from 1 species